rfam:Phalacrocorax carbo contig54303, whole genome shotgun sequence.
CAACAGGCCUUGCUAAAGGCCACCCUUCAUCCACCUAGAAACCCUGG